UGCUCUCUGCCUCUGUGCUUCUGCUCUGCGCAGCCUCUGACCUCUCUUUCCUCCCGUCUUUUUUAUUUCCUUUUUUUUCUUCUGGCAGCCUUGCUGCCUUCCUCACGCCGUCUGUCUCCCCCCUCGGUUUCUGCUUUGUCUUUUUCUCCCUCUCCCCACUUGCGCGCCUCAGCCUUCUGCUCCUCUCUCUCACGCCUCUGUCCUUCACGCU
rnacentral:lncRNA from 1 species